rnacentral:rRNA from 1 species
UCUCUCGGUGCCGUGGCGGAACCCGUCGGCCGUGCCGGCUGCGAGACCCUUCCGGCGCUUAGGCGCUCCGACCGCGACCCCAGGUCAGGCGGAUA